CUUGUUUAAUAUCAUGUAGCUAGUAAUCAGUUGGCCCGAAUGUCUUCUGACUUCAAAUCCACUGUUCUUUUUUAGACCCUUAUCUUCUGUCUUGAAAUCAAUACUUUGUUUUAGUUCUGAGGCAGAAGAGUGGGAAGGGCUAGGCAAUGGGAGUCACACAGCUAGCCCUGGCUCUUAAUCUACUGUGCCAACUACCUGCCACCUCAAGUCUACUGAUGUACGCAGAAUACCAUGGUAUCUCAAAAUAGAAAAUUGAAGCUUAAAGGGCUGUAUACUGUAAUCCAUGGAUGAGAAAAUCCCUUCAGAUGGUCUCAAGCUCUUCACGUCAAAUUGAUCUUUGACAGGAUUCCUUUUUUUCCAAAUAAGGUGUGGGACUACAUGAUCUUUGGUACUAAAGAACUAUUACAGAAAAUGCAAACUACUCUUCCCAUUCUCCCCAGCAGUAGAAGGAGGAGACAGGACAAGCCCGAACAGGCCUAGAUGGUCAGGCCUAGAGACAGGAGUUCCAAUUUGACCUCAGACAUUUUCUAACUGUGUAACUCUGGACAAAUCACUUAAUUCUCAUUGCCUAGGCCUUACCACUCUUCUGCCUUAUAACCAAUAUACGGUAUUGUUUCCAAGACAAAAGGUAAGGGAUUAAAAAAAUAGUCAUGGCAGGGGUGGCACAGCUAGUUGUCUCAGUGGAGAGGAAGUCAGGACUAAAGGUGGAGCUCAUGG
rnacentral:lncRNA from 1 species